rnacentral:rRNA from 1 species
GUAGUCAUAUGCUUGUCUCAAAGAUUAAGCCAUGCAUGUCUAAGUAUAAAUAAAUUUAUAUGGUGAAACUGCGAAUGGCUCAUUAAAUCAGUUAUGAUCUACGUGACACACUCUUUACUACUUGGAUAACCGUGGUAAUUCUAGAGCUAAUACAUGCAAAAAAGCCCUGACUCACGAAGGGGUGCACUUAUUAGAUAAAGCCAACACUGGGUAAAACCAGUUCUUUUGGUGACUCAUAAUAAUUAAGCUGAUCGCAUGGCCUUGUGCUGGCGACGGUCUACUCGAUUUUCUGCCCUAUCAUGGUUGAGAUUGUAAGGUAGUGGCUUACAAUGCCUACAACGGGUAACGGGGAAU